GGGCUAUAAAGAGAUGAUCAAUGAUUUAUCAAUAGGAAUGAGGAGAAAUGGCUUCAGAUCAUCAGUGAAGGUUUAUAAACCCUCCAUUCCCCUGUUGAAGACACAUUGCUUCCAGAAAGUCCUGCUGCUGCUUUGAUUCUUCAUCACAAGAUGAAAUUCAUCCUUUUUACUUUGUUCCUCUGUGGAUUCAUCCUGGAAAUCAAUGUGAGUGAAAACCUUCUGUUCUCUUUGUGGUUUGAAUAUCUAUUGUUAAAAACAUUAUUUUACUGGUUUUAUUUAGCAAUUGUAGUUUUUUUGUUUAG